UCGACUGAAACUGUUGUUUCAUUUACAAAUGAUAAGUUAACCGUAUUAUCUUCUAGCUUUACAGUAUGGACACACUGGUCAAAAAGAAUUGGAAGUGGAGAAGGUGUUGAAGCAAGGGAGUUUAGCAUAUCCGCCAUUCCAUGUUUGAAGGAAUAUGAAGCGACAUUUUCACCUAAUAAUAAAUUCAGGUUUGGAAUGCUUCCCGGAUAAACAUUUUCAAGAGAAACAGAGAGUGAUUGUGAAAGGUAUUCCUUAAACCAUUCAAAAAUUUUUAAAUCUAAAACAGUAAGAUGCAAUAAAGAAGUGAGGGUGUUAGCCGAAUUACCAAGAAAUUCAGACAAAGUGUCCUUUAUUUGUAAAGGAAAGGCUUCAAUUGAAAUAUACCAACCAAUUUGGUCAAGCUUUUGAAUGAAUUCUUGCUCAGGAGGAGUAAUCAACGAAUGAAGGGGCUGUUUACUAGCUGAAGCAUUGAAAUA